rnacentral:tRNA from 1 species
CCUGUGGAUGCAGAGUGGUACUGCAGCGGUCUGUAAAACCGCCGUCAAUAUGACAUAGCGGGUUCGAAUCCCGUCCACAGGA